UUCUCAUUAGGUAAUCUUAGUCCAUUCCUUUAUUUUAUUUUAUUUUAUUGACUAACUAAAUCCAUCAAGGGGUUUAUUGGGCUCAACUCAGGCUACUAAAGGCCUGAAUCUCGACCCACCAUAAAUCUUAGGCCCCCAUUUUUUGUUUCUUUUCUGUUGCGCUUAGGCUACCCAUGAUUCAAAUUUGGGCCUCACAUGUUUGUCAACCUGGCCCACUAUCCACAACCCUUUCAGUCAGUCUAUUAUCUUUAACUUCCCAGAACCCUAAUGGGGUUAUUAAACCUAAAUCGCAUUUAUUACGACUACAACAUUUAAAUCAUCAUCGGAUUCACGCAUUUCAGACAUCAAUAUCAAAUGAAACUUCAUCAUGUCCAAAUAUUAAGUUAUAAAUCACAUUAUAAAAUCAAAUUAUUACAUUAUUUCACAUAUAGAGAGUUAAAGUAUACAUUACGCUUACCCCUCUUUGAAUCUCAGAGGAACUAAGUAGAAUUGUAGUGUGGACCUCUUUUCUUCACAUGUAUCUACACACACACACACGAGUAAACAGAUCUAGGUUACCUUGACAUCCGACCUAAAAUACUGAGUUUCCUUUUGAUUCGAGGUUUAAAAUGUAAAAAUUUGCAUCUAAUGUAAGGUUACCUCUCUUCAACUCUUAAAGAAGAGCUAGGACGCCAUGAAAAUUGCUCAAAAGCCUAUAUUCUCUUCUUUCC
rnacentral:lncRNA from 1 species